rnacentral:rRNA from 1 species
UACGUAGGGUGCGAGCGUUUGUCCGGAAUUAUUGGGCGUAAAGGGCUCGUAGGCGGUCUGUCGCGUCGGAUGUGAAAAUCCAGGGCUCAACCCUGAACCUGCAUUCGAUACGGGCAGGCUAGAGUUCGGUAGGGGAGACUGGAAUUCCUGGUGUAGCGGUGAAAUGCGCAGAUAUCAGGAGGAACACCGGUGGCGAAGGCGGGUCUCUGGGCCGAUACUGACGCUGAGGAGCGAAAGCGUGGGGAGCGAACAGG